AUUUUUACAAGUGUAGAAAAAUAAUUAAUAAAUAUGGAGUAUGAUUAUU
rnacentral:misc_RNA from 1 species